GACAGAUAUGAGCGUUUCAUGAAAGCCGAAUCUUCUCUCCGCCAGUUUGAAAUGUUGACCGGGUCGCUGCCCUUUCAUGGGAAAGACCGCAAAGAAACAAUGAGCAUGAUUCUCAAGGCACGUCUGGGAAUGCCUCAGUUCCUCAGCGCAGAGGCACAGUCUCUGCUCAGAGCUCUGUUCAAGAGGAACCCCGCCAACAGGCUGGGAUCGGGUCCAGACGGAGCA